GGCAGGGAAGAGGAAACGUCGGUGUAGAGGGAAAUGAAGACGAGCAGCGUUGUUAGGCCCAUGCCGCCUCUCUCCGGGAACCGUUCCACCGGCAGAAACAAUGUGCCAUAUCUGGGGGCGGGACGAGACUCACUCCACUGACAUAACCACAGAGGAAAAGGCUCGUGCAGUCAGCGGCGCUCCUCGACGGCUCAGUACAGCCAAGAGGAGUUACAGAGGUGCAUGUAUGGCGUGGAGAGGCUGGGCUGAGGGUCGGGACGUAUGCACUAGCCUUGACAUGGUUGUGAGAGAGCAUGUCAAGUGUGAAAAAUACAUCUUGUGUCCUCCCUUCAACCUCCUCAGACGCUCACCGCAGGAAGACUUGGUUCAGAUCAGGUGAUAAAACCACAAGAGAAACAGAAGAAAGAUAAGAAGAAUCAGCUCUGAAAAUUAGGAAUUUAACCCACCAGCCACUGGCAAGUAUAUGUAAAAGAGGGAAAAAAUAAAACGGAACCAAAAUUCAUUUCGCUACAGGGAAGGUGGGGAGCUGAGCUGGUAGGUAGACUGCACAAGACCGAAGUUAGAUGAUUUGUAGCUGUAUGGUGACCGAACAGCAGGCAGAUAGCAGGUGUACGUUAAGGUAUCUUGUGCAUCUUUGUUUGUAUAUGAGGUAAUCUAUGACGGUGCUCUUCAACCUUCUGUGAUGUCCUCCUCAUUUAUUGUACAAUCAACUCCCCUACUGUAGACAUUGCAAACCCACCUACUUGAGAUGGGCCUCGGUUUUCCUUUGAUGAAAUAGACCUCUCAGUCUCUUGCAGAGGAAAGAUAAUAUAGAUUCUCUUCGUUUAUUAGUUUACCAAGCAAGGCAUGUGAUAUCCUUUGCUUCCCUUAUUUAGGUGUCUUAAGUUUAUUAUUCUUUGUGUUCAUGUGUACCACAUUUUCACUGCAACAAUAUGGACAUAACAUUCCAUUUCCAUGAUUGUUUUUUGCCUCAAGAGAACAGCUUUCUAUCAUCUGUCCCCAACCCAGAACAAUCACACACCCAAGCUGAACAGCACUGAGGACCCUGUGUGUGGACUUUUGGAACAUUCAGAACUGCAGAGUUUUCAGGAGUGUCUUUGCAACUUAUCAUAUUAGGCUUGUUGCACAACACUCAAGUUUCAUGUCAGCACAACCAUAAUACUGUUUUUCAUUCCAAGAGACUGAAAGACAUGAGUAUGCUAUGUAAGUCUCAGAUCAGUUAAAUGUGCUUUGAGUGCAGUUCACUUUUGAGGACCCUGCUGUUUCUUGGCUACUUUUAAACUCGAAACCCUUCAAGAUACAGAAGGGUGCAAUCCAACUUGCUUGGGUAACUAUUUUGGAUUUUAGAUAGAAAGCUGUUCUCUUGGGGGCAAAAAUCACAAUUAUGGAAAUGAAAUUUGUUACGUCUGUGUUGUUGUGGUGAGAACUGAUGAUUUUCUUUAUGAAACCUUUAUUAUUUUGCAAGUAACUUUCUAAAGUAUAUUCUUGAGUCAUAGUUUGACUAAUCGUUUAAUUGGUGCCAAAUCAUACUUGUCAUCCAGGAAGGCAGCAGGGGAGGCGAUGGCCAUGUGCCAGCAAGUGUGUGGAUGUAGUGUCCUUGAGUUCUCGGGUUCAAGUCCCACCCUCUACUUCAAGCUGAUAAUUUUCAGUCACUGCCAAGUGGCAAAGACUACCCACAUCCUGUCCUGAUGACCGCCUAUCAACCUCGAUUCUGGCAAAGCUCUAACAUGAGGAUUAAAUGGAACUGGGGGACAGCAUGAGCUAUUUGGGCUGCGGCUGACCAACAAGCUGCAUCAUGAUAGCUAUAGCCAAAAGUAAAAAAAAUAAUUUGCUAUAGUUAGGCAUAAGUAGGGUAUGAAAAACUUUAGUAGAAUGUUGCAGUUACUGAAGUUUUCAUACCCCACUUAACUAACUAUAGCAGCAAGGUAACUAUUUUUUAUGUUUGGCUUAUAGGGCCAAUGGGCUGUCACGUUGGGGCCUGCUGGUCAGCCCCACACUGUUGGAGGCACAGGCAAAUAGCUUAUUGCUAUGUCAUCUUGCUUGUCUCAUGCGGGAGUUUAGCCAGAGUCCAGAUUGAUAUGUGAUCAUAAAGACAUCAUGUGGGUAGUCUUGACCACUCGAUGGUAACUAAAGAUUGUCAUCUUGAAGUGGUGGAAAGUUGAAACAGAAUCCUGCUUUUGCAACCCUUAAUUAAACUCAUCCACCUUCUGACCAACACUAAACUUCCCUAGCAUAAGAUUAAUAAACCCUUUGUGUUCAGUGCAUCGUAAAGUAAGGAAUCACGAUUUAUCAUGCACUGCAACUAUAUCAGCAUGCAGAUUUCUUUACAACCCUCCCUCAUAUAUCACAAGGUCGCUACAUAAUUCACACUCAAGUCGCACUUGCGUGGACUUCACUCCUGACCCAUCUGUACAGUUUUUUAGUU